AUGAUGGACUAUAGGACAGGACUGCUGCUUCUAAUCUGCUGGGCAGGUGUUGAUGGUCAGAGGCUGACAGAAUCUGAACCAGCAGUUAAAAGUCCUGGAGGAUCUCACAGAUUGACCUGUACAACCUCUGGAUUUACAUUCAGCAGCUACCCUAUGAACUGGGUCAGACAGGCUCCUGGUAAAGGACUGGAGUGGAUUGCUUUCAUCCACACAGGCAGUUCUCAUAUCUACUACUCCCAGUCAGUCCAGGGUAGAUUCACCAUCUCCAGAGAUGACUCCAGCAGUAAACUCUAUCUGCAGAUGAACAGUCUGAAGACUGAGGACACAGCAGUGUAUUACUGUGCCAGACACCCAAGGCCUGAUCCCUCCCGCUCAUCCCCGCCAGCGGGUGAUGAUCCGACCGCCGUCGACAUGCCCUCAACCUUAGCCAUGGGGACUUUCAGGCAGGAGCUCUCACGUCGCUACGUGAGGACAUCGGCAAUAUUAUCAAGCUGGAGAUUAGAGAUGUUCUGGAGAGAGAUGAAGUGA